GUUUCAGAUUUCUUAUCCCUUUGCAUAUUCCAUCAUCAUUCUGUCCAUUUACAUUGUCCAUCAUCCUCAUCCAGUUUUAGAUGUAAGAAUUUCUCUCAUACAGUUCAUCACCAUCGUAGUACAUGUAUUUGUCUUUGGUUUUUUUACUUCGUUUAUUAUCUGGAAAUAAAUCAAUCCAGUGUUCGUUGUUUUAUUUAAAGGGACAGAUUUUCAAAAAAAAUUUAACUGUUUGGUACUGCGUGGGAGGAGAUGGAGUGAAUCACGUAUUCUUUUUGGCCGAAGAACAAUCUAUGUUCUCAGAUUACUUAUAGAUUUCGACUUAUUUUGUCUCUGAAAUUGGAAAAUUCCCAAGUAUUUCUUACUGCAGUUGAUUAAAAUGUAUUUUUACUCGUAUGGUCCAGCACAGCCUUAAUAACAUCCAUAAGUGCAUCACUCACUCGUGUGCCUUGAAGUGGAGAAGUUUGGAGUUGGAAAAGAAGUAGAGAGACUCCAACCGUGCGUUUCUAUGGGAACCUGAUCUUUAUGAUGUCACAAAUCAUUAAUUUAUAAAUACAAGCAUAAUCUAUUCAUAAUAGAAGAAAGAAACACUGUAAAAACAGAUGAAGAAAGAAACCAACGAUGAGUUCAUAAAAAGUUGUGAUUAUAUUUUUUAGUUUC